UGCCAGCAGCCGCGGUAACACGGGGGGCUCAAGCGUUAUUCGGAAUUAUUGGGCGUAAAGGGCGCGUAGGCGGCCUUGUCGGUCAGGUGUGAAAGCCCGGGGCUCAACCCCGGACGUGCAUUGGAAACUGGCGAACUUGAGUACGGGAGAGGAAAGUGGAAUUCCGAGUGUAGGGGUGAAAUCCGUAGAUAUUCGGAGGAACACCAGUGGCGAAGGCGGCUUUCUGGACCGAUACGUGACGCUGAGACGCGAAAGCGUGGGGAGCAAACAGGAUUAGAUA
rnacentral:rRNA from 1 species